GAUGAACGCUGGCGGUAUGCUUAACACAUGCAAGUCGAACGGACUCUUCGGAGUUAGUGGCGGACGGGUGAGUAACGCGUGAGAAUCUGGCUUUGGGUUCGGGACAACCACUGGAAACGGUGGCUAAUACCGGAUGUGCCGAGAGGUAAAAGAGAAAUUGCCUGAAGAUGAGCUCGCGUCUGAUUAGCUAGUUGGUGAGGUAAAGGCUCACCAAGGCAGCGAUCAGUAGCUGGUCUGAGAGGAUGACCAGCCACACUGGGACUGAGACACGGCCCAGACUCCUACGGGAGGCAGCAGUGGGGAAUUUUCCGCAAUGGGCGAAAGCCUGACGGAGCAAUACCGCGUGAGGGAAGAAGGCUCUUGGGUUGAAAACCUCUUUUCUUAGGGAAGAACAAAAUGACGGUACCUAAGGAAUCAGCAUCGGCUAACUCCGUG
rnacentral:rRNA from 1 species